CUCUCAUUCAGGAGUAUAAAUCCUGCUGCUUCAUACUUAGGAGGAAGCCAGGUGUCUCAAAGCCAGUGGAAUAAAGCAUAAGGGCUGGGCACUUGGACCUCAGCCCAAACGCUGCAGAGAUCAUCUUCCACGGGAAUGUAUUUGACAUCAGGAAACCACUGUUCACCGACUCUAAACUUGGCCAGGCCAUUCCCAAUGACUCGUGAAGCCAUUGUUCUCUCAAGUUUUACAUACCUCGAUUCAUUCCAGGCCAUCUUCCCUUGAGCUCAGACCAUUUUAAACAAAG
rnacentral:lncRNA from 1 species